AGCUUUGCGCAGUGGCAGUAUAUAGCCAAUGAGGUUAAUCCGAGGUGUGAUUAUUGCUAGUUGAAAACUUCUCCUUGUAUGGAAAUCUUACUACCCAGAGGCAAGAUAAUCUAUCAUCCUCUUCUUCAACAUUUCUCCCUUGACUCCCGCCCCAAAAGA
rnacentral:snRNA from 1 species